rnacentral:misc_RNA from 1 species
GAUGAAGAAACGUAGCGAAAUGCGAUACGUAAUGUGAAUUGCAGAAUUCAGUGAAUCAUCGAGUCUUUGAACGCACAUUGCGCCCCCUGGUAUUCCGGGGGGCAUGCCUGUCCGAGCGUCAUUGCUGCCCUCAAGCACGGCUUGUGUGUUGGGCCUCCGUCCUCCUCCCGGGGGACGGGCCCGAAAGGCAGCGGCGGCACCGCGUCCGGUCCUCGAGCGUAUGGGGCUUCGUCACCCGCUCUUGUAGGCCCGGUCGGCGCUUGCCGACACAUCAAUCUUUUUUCCAGGUUGACCUCGGAUCAGGUAGGGAUACCCGCUGAACUUAAGCAUAUCAAUAAGCGGAGGA